rnacentral:rRNA from 1 species
AGCGAACGCUGGCGGCAGGCCUAACACAUGCAAGUCGAACGAACCUUUCGGGGUUAGUGGCGGACGGGUGAGUAACACGUGGGAACGUGCCUUUAGGUUCGGAAUAACUCAGGGAAACUUGUGCUAAUACCGAAUGUGCCCUUCGGGGGAAAGAUUAAUCGCCUUUAGAGCGGCCCGCGUCUGAUUAGCUAGUUGGUUGAGGUAAUGGCUCACCAAGGCGACGAUCAGUAGCUGGUCUGAGAGGAUGAUCAGCGACAUUGGGACUGAGACACGGCCCAAACUCCUACGGGAGGCAGCAGUGGGGAAUCUUGCGCAAUGGGCGAAAGCCUGACGCAGCCAUGCCGCGUGAAUGAUGAAGGUCUUAGGAUUGUAAAAUUCUUUCACCGGGGACGAUAAUGACGGUACCCGGAGAAGAAGCCCCGGCUAACUUCGUG